rnacentral:rRNA from 1 species
AUGGCUCAGUGAGGCCUUCGGACUGGCUCGAGGAGGUUGGCAACGACCACCCCGAGCCGGAAAGUUGGUCAAACUCGGUCAUUUAGAGGAAGUAAAAGUCGUAACAAGGUUUCCGUAGGUGAACCUGCGGAAGGAUCAUUA